rnacentral:rRNA from 1 species
AGCGAACAGAUGAGAAGCUUGCUUCUCUGAUGUUAGCGGCGGACGGGUGAGUAACACGUGGGUAACCUACCUAUAAGACUGGGAUAACUCCGGGAAACCGGGGCUAAUACCGGAUAAUAUUUUGAACCGCAUGGUUCAAUAGUGAAAGACGGUUUCGGCUGUCACUUAUAGAUGGACCCGCGCCGUAUUAGCUAGUUGGUAAGGUAAUGGCUUACCAAGGCGACGAUACGUAGCCGACCUGAGAGGGUGAUCGGCCACACUGGAACUGAGACACGGUCCAGACUCCUACGGGAGGCAGCAGUAGGGAAUCUUCCGCAAUGGGCGAAAGCCUGACGGAGCAACGCCGCGUGAGUGAUGAAGGUCUUCGGAUCGUAAAACUCUGUUGUUAGGGAAGAACAAAUUUGUUAGUAACUGAACAAGUCUUGACGGUACCUAACCAGAAAGCCACGGCUAACUACGUGCCAGCAGCCGCGGUAAUACGUAGGUGGCAAGCGUUAUCCGGAAUUAUUGGGCGUAAAGCGCGCGUAGGCGGUUUCUUAAGUCUGAUGUGAAAGCCCACGGCUCAACCGUGGAGGGUCAUUGGAAACUGGGAAACUUGAGUGCAGAAGAGGAGAGUGGAAUUCCAUGUGUAGCGGUGAAAUGCGCAGAGAUAUGGAGGAACACCAGUGGCGAAGGCGGCUCUCUGGUCUGUAACUGACGCUGAUGUGCGAAAGCGUGGGGAUCAAACAGGAUUAGAUACCCUGGUAGUCCACGCCGUAAACGAUGAGUGCUAAGUGUUAGGGGGUUUCCGCCCCUUAGUGCUGCAGCUAACGCAUUAAGCACUCCGCCUGGGGAGUACGACCGCAAGGUUGAAACUCAAAGGAAUUGACGGGGACCCGCACAAGCGGUGGAGCAUGUGGUUUAAUUCGAAGCAACGCGAAGAACCUUACCAAAUCUUGACAUCCUUUGACCGCUCUAGAGAUAGAGUCUUCCCCUUCGGGGGACAAAGUGACAGGUGGUGCAUGGUUGUCGUCAGCUCGUGUCGUGAGAUGUUGGGUUAAGUCCCGCAACGAGCGCAACCCUUAAGCUUAGUUGCCAUCAUUAAGUUGGGCACUCUAGGUUGACUGCCGGUGACAAACCGGAGGAAGGUGGGGAUGACGUCAAAUCAUCAUGCCCCUUAUGAUUUGGGCUACACACGUGCUACAAUGGAUAAUACAAAGGGCAGCGAAUCCGCGAGGCCAAGCAAAUCCCAUAAAAUUAUUCUCAGUUCGGAUUGUAGUCUGCAACUCGACUACAUGAAGCUGGAAUCGCUAGUAAUCGUAGAUCAGCAUGCUACGGUGAAUACGUUCCCGGGUCUUGUACACACCGCCCGUCACACCACGAGAGUUUGUAACACCCGAAGCCGGUGGAGUA